AGUGAACGCUGGCGGCAGGCCUAACACAUGCAAGUCGAACGGCAGCACAGUAAGAGCUUGCUAUUACGGGUGGAGAGUGGCGGACGGGUGAGGAAUACAUCGGAAUCUACUUUUUCGUGGGGGAUAACGUAGGGAAACUUACGCUAAUACCGCAUACGACCUACGGGUGAAAGCAGGGGAUCUUCGGACCUUGCGCGAUUGAAUGAGCCGAUGUCGUAUUAGCUAGUUGGCGGGGUAAAGGCCCACCAAGGCGACGAUCCGUAGCUGGUCUGAGAGGAUGAUCAGCCACACUGGAACUGAGACACGGUCCAGACUCCUACGGGAGGCAGCAGUGGGGAAUAUUGGACAAUGGGCGCAAGCCUGAUCCAGCCAUACCGCGUGGGUGAAGAAGGCCUUCGGGUUGUAAAGCCCUUUUGUUGGGAAAGAAAAGCAGCAGGUUAAUACCCCGCUGUUCUGACGGUACCCAAAGAAUAAGCACCGGCUAACUUCGUG
rnacentral:rRNA from 1 species